rnacentral:rRNA from 1 species
AUGGGGCGGCGCAGGCAGGAGGACGGUGGGAGGCGGCGGAGCUGGAUGGAGCACGGGACAAGGAGGAGGCCACCGACGAUGCACUCGACAGUGAGGGCCAGCAACACAUCAGCGGCAGGAGGGAGGCGAUGGUGGCGGAUGGCAAGGAAGGCAAGCAGCUCGGCCCUGGCGUUAGGCCGGGGUCACGGAGGAGAUGCAGGAGGACCGCAGGGCGAGGCAGGGAGGAGGCGGUUGGGCCCGCCAUGGCAGGCGGUGGACGGAGCAGAGGCAAGGCAGGGCGAGCUCACCGCGUAA